GUUACGUCCCAUGGUACAUUGGCCAGAGGAUGCAUCCAUCUUUUUAGUUUUAAUGUUAAAUUAUUGUUGAGCAAGGAUUUCACAAUGGAAAAAGAUAAGGGGUUUCGUGAUAAAGUGAUAAAAAAGUUGUAUGCACGUGAUGAUGAAGUGGAAAUCGAAGAACUCGAUGCUGAUAUUACUGACACGGACGUGAGAAAUCCGGUUACAAUAUAUGGCGUGGAACCUCCAGAUGCGGACUACAAGCUUCCGCCAGGAUAUUAUGAUUUCCAUUUGACGAAUUCACAGACUGUGUCUUCCUCCCAGUCCGACACAAGUGGUGACGAUGGUCCGGCACCAAAGAGAAGGCGAAGAAAGAGAAAGAUAGCGCAAGAAGUAAAACCCGACAGAAAUCCUAUUGAGGCUAAAUCUUUAGUCAAUUCUCAAAACAAAUUAACGAAAAACCAAAAACGAAAAUUAAAGAAGAAAAGAAAAAGGGAUAAAUUAAAAGACGAAAACAAAUCCACGGCAUCUAGCACAGAAUUUGUCUAUAAACCCGAAGGUAGCUAAGUGAUGGAAGGUGACUGAAGAUAUUUCUAAUCCUGUAAUAACAUAUGGGCAGGUACUGGGGGCUUUUUGUAGUCUUUAGAGGAGUCCCCUGUUUGUACAUCUUCAAUAAAAGGCUUGAUCUCGCUUUAACAUCUUAUCAAGGCCUUUACGUAAUAUCCUGCGUAUUUCGGCACUAAUUUCGAUUGGGUAGUCACCCAGCUUGAGAGCCUAUCAGAUUCCUCGAUCAUCGCGAAUGUCAAGUCUCGCGCUUUCCUGCUAAAAUGUCUACCUGUGAUAAUCGAGUUGCAAAGUUCAAGGUUCGUUCAAUGUCAAGGUUUCCGUGGAGGUCGCUAUAUUUGAUUUAAGUGCGUUAGUGUCACAAUUUCUGACUGGACGCCACUGUUCACAUGUCUGCAGUAAAGGGAGAAAACGUAGCUAUAAGUUCGGGAAUUGCAAAGUAAUCAAGCAACACCCAGAUGUUCUAAACUCUCGCAGCAGUUGCUUCGGGAACAUGCUCUUUGUGGUGCUUUGUCCUUUGAUCACUCCAGCUAAAAAUGACACCUCAAAAUAUCAAAGUGCUUGACAUAAAAAUAUGUGAACUCACAAAAGACAAAGGGAGAUGCCAUUGGUGGUUGUUAUUGACAACAUAUACUUUUCAAAUAAGUGUGAUAUUGCAAACAAACUUCGAAUUCUCUGAACUCAGAAUAAGUAACAACACUUUAGGUCAGUGGAACCAAAAAUAUGGAUUUUUCUUAGAUUUGAAAAUUGAAUCCUAUACCUUCGAGACCAAUCUAAUUAAAACACAGAUCCUAUUUCGUGUCGUUUUUAUAGUUCAAAAUUUCGUUUUACUUGUCUUUACCACACUUGGAUCUGGAAGACUUGUUAUUUAACUCGUGUUCUACUUGAAAUGAAGGGUCAGCCAAUCAAAUGGUCUGUCGAAUCGAGUGUUUGACCUUUUUUCCCCCCGGAACUGUGGGUAAUCCACUAGUAACAUCAAUGCUGAUUGGUUAAUCAAAUGUCUGACGUCAUAGGUCAAAAGUCGGUAUUUUGACCCCUGACGUGACCUAUCGCUAUAACUUGUCAGAUCUUCAUGUAGUGUAGGCCAUCGAAAGUAUAAAAAAACGAAACGAAAUAUAGAUCUGUAUUGUGAUCAGAUUGCUUCCAGACAUGACUAUAUAUGAUCGGAUGUAUUGUUAAUUGAAAACCAUACCCAAUGUAAACAAACUGAUCAAUAAUU